GUUUCUGAAUAACAAAGCACAGUGGAAUCACUCAGGAAAUGCGAAGGGUUUGGGAAGCUCUGUGCCAGAAACCAUGGACAAAGACAAACAGGCAUUCAGCUCUGUGAAUAAAAGCAUUCUGCUGAUUUCUGCUGCCCUGUAUCCAGACGGAAGGAAUGGAGGGAAAAUCUGGACACAGAGCUGUAUACAUCCAGGGAGAACGUCAUCUGGAGAUGAAAGCAGAGAUCAGAGUGAUGCAGCUCCAAGACAUGGAAUGCUGAAGAUGGUGAGCAACCCACCAGAAGCCAGGAGAGAGGUAUAAACGGUUUCUCCCUCACAGCCCUUAGAAGCCACCAACCCUGCUGAUGCCUUGAUCUCUGAUCCUCAAGGAUGUGGAGUAGCUGUGUGAGAGGCUGUCUGAGGGCUCUUCAGAAAGUUCAUAGGAAAUGCAUAUUAUGAAAAAACUAUGCUGGAUUUCAAAUUUUUUGCACCAAAAUUGAUUUGUACUACCUUUUUAUAACAUGUUCAUGCACAAUCUAGUUUGAGGCACUAAGAAGGAUAAUACAUCAGUUUGAAAAGAGCCUCUAUCAGAGCAAUGUGAAUUUCUGCUAAAAUUGAAGUAAGAACAAACAUCAAAUUUAUAGUGAAGCUUGAGGGGAAGUAUGGUGAACUCAUUGAUGCUUUGUGAAAAGCUUAUGGGGACAAUACCCCCUUCCCCCAAAUCAGCAGUUUACAAAUAGAUAACUUCUUUUAAGAAGGGAGAAGUUGAGGCUGGGCACAGUGGCUAACGCCUGUAAUCCCAACACUUUGGGAGGCUGGGGCAGGUGAAUCACUUGAGGUCGGGAAUUCAAGACCAGCCUGGUUAACAUGUGAAACCCCAUCUCUACUAAAAAUACAAAAAAAA
rnacentral:lncRNA from 10 species